rnacentral:rRNA from 1 species
GACGAACGCUGGCGGCGUGCUUAACACAUGCAAGUCGAACGGAAAGGCCUGCUUUCCCUUGUGGAUUGCGGGUACUCGAGUGGCGAACGGGUGAGUAACACGUGAGUGAUCUGCCCCCAACUUGGGUAUAAGCCUGGGAAACUGGGUCUAAUUCCCGAUAGGACUGCAGGGUGGUGCCUGUGGUGGAAAACGAUUUUCUAGUGGUUGGGGAUGAGCUCGCGGCCUAUCAGCUUGUUGGUGGGGUAAUGGCCUACCAAGGCGGCGACGGGUAGCCGGCCUGGGAGUGUGAGCGGCCACACUGGCAUUGAGACACGGUCCCGACCCAGACGGGUGGCAGAAGCAGGGGUGGUGAAGCAAGGGGAGAAGGCGUAAGCCUGAAGCAGCGAGGGAGUGAGGGAGGUCUCGGGCUUCGGGUUGUAAGCUCCUUGCGAAGGAGAGGAGGGCAAGUGGUUAGGAGGGUCGUGACGGUAGUGGUAGAGAAAGCCCCGGCUAACUACGUG